AUCCCUGAAGCGCAAUGGACAGCGCGUUGGACUUCUACUCCAAAGGACGUGGGUUUGAAACCCACCUGUGAUG